rnacentral:rRNA from 1 species
CCCGCUGAACUUAAGCAUAUCAAUAAGCGGAGGAAAAGAAACUAACAAGGAUUCCCCUAGUAACUGCGAGUGAAGCGGGAAAAGCUCAAAUUUAAAAUCUGGUGGUCUUUGGCCAUCCGAGUUGUAAUUUAGAGAAGCGUCUUCCGCGCUGGACCAUGCACAAGUCUCCUGGAAUGGAGCGUCAUAGAGGGUGAGAAUCCCGUCUUUGGCAUGGACACACCAGGGCUUCUGUGAUGCGCUCUCGAAGAGUCGAGUUGUUUGGGAAUGCAGCUCAAAAUGGGUGGUGAACUCCAUCUAAAGCUAAAUAUUGGCGAGAGACCGAUAGCGAACAAGUACCGUGAGGGAAAGAUGAAAAGCACUUUGGAAAGAGAGUGAAACAGUACGUGAAAUUGUUGAAAGGGAAACGCUUGAAGUCAGUCGCGUCGGCCGAGACUCAGCCUUGCCUCGGCUUGGUGUAUUUCUUGGCCCGACGGGUCAGCAUCAAUUUUGCCCCUUGGAUAAUGGCUAGGGAAAUGUGACACCUUUAUAGGUGUGUUAUAGUCUCUCGUCGCAUGCAAGGGUCAGGAUUGAGGAACUCAGCACGCACCUUCGGGUGUCGGGGCUUUUGUCCACGAUACAUGCUUAGGAUGUUGGCGUAAUGGCUUUAAACGACCCGUCUUGAAACACGG